rnacentral:rRNA from 1 species
UACGAAGGGGGCUAGCGUUGCUCGGAAUUACUGGGCGUAAAGCGCACGUAGGCGGCUUUCUAAGUCAGGGGUGAAAUCCUGGAGCUCAACUCCAGAACUGCCUUUGAUACUGGCGAGCUUGAGUCCGGGAGAGGUGAGUGGAACUGCGAGUGUAGAGGUGAAAUUCGUAGAUAUUCGCAAGAACACCAGUGGCGAAGGCGGCUCACUGGCCCGGUACUGACGCUGAGGAGCGAAAGCCAGGGGAGCGAACAGG